GCUUUCGUGGUGAAAUGGAUAUCACAUCUGCCUUCGAAGCAGAGGUUGUAGGUUCGAUUCCUACCGGAAGCA
rnacentral:tRNA from 1 species